rnacentral:lncRNA from 13 species
AUGAAUAAUGUAAGGAAAAGUACUUUCCGAAGCAAUAAUGCUAGCUUAUUGAACAGAACACUGAGCAGAAUAGCAGGAUUCCCACCGGUCGAGCCUCCCGGUCUCUCUCCCAGCCCCAAGUGCAAGACCGCGGCGGCUCGUCUCCGUGACAACGUUCCCGCGUGCCCGGCCCCGCCCCCAACCCGCCCCCAAGACCGGAAGCUGCUGCGAAGCGGGCACUUACCCGGUUUCUCCCCGACGGCGCCGCGUUGGCGCUUCCCCGCCGGGAGGGACUCAAGAUGGCGCUGUGAGAACAACCCAGGAUUGAAGCUCUUGCUGGAUGCACGGAGAGGCAGCUUCAGUUAA